rfam:TPA: Bos taurus chromosome 10, whole genome shotgun sequence.
UCCCUGGUGGCUCAGAUGGUAAAGUGUCUGCCUGCAAUGCAGGAGAGCCAGGUUUGAUUCCUGGGUUGGAAA